rnacentral:rRNA from 1 species
UACGAAGGGGGCUAGCGUUGUUCGGAAUUACUGGGCGUAAAGCGCACGUAGGCGGAUAUUUAAGUCAGGGGUGAAAUCCCAGAGCUCAACUCUGGAACUGCCUUUGAUACUGGGUAUCUUGAGUAUGGAAGAGGUAAGUGGAAUUGCGAGUGUAGAGGUGAAAUUCGUAGAUAUUCGCAAGAACACCAGUGGCGAAGGCGGCUCACUGGCCCGGUACUGACGCUGAGGUGGCGAAAGCGUGGGGAGCAAACAGG